UGAGGAAGAUUGUGGGAGCCCCUCCUCCAGAAAUUGAAUAAAUACAAUUCCUGGCUGCACCAACUCUGGCAUCACAACCCCCACCAUGACGGCAUUCUGGGCAAGGUUCCUUCAGUCUACAGUACCCACCACAGAGGGCCACCCCUCCAUCCUGGCUCUAGUCUUCCCCCCUCUCACUGGCAAGUGGUUAGGAAAGCCGACUGGGGGGUGGGUCAGACAAG